UGCUAUGGCAGGCGCAAGUUGGAAUCAGCUAGCGCAAGACAGGGGUAAUUGGAUAUAACAGGGAGAGGCCUUCGUCCUGCAGUGGACAUAAAUAUAGGCUAAUGAUGAUGAUGAUGCUGUGGCAGUGUCUCGUGAAGCAUUGGCCUUGCUACAAAGUGCGUUAAAAAUUUUUUUAAAUUCUACAUUCACGUGUCAGUGCUAGAGCUUAGCGUGUUUUACCAUUGAAUCACACAUUUCAAGUGCCGAUAAUAAAUUCAGAAUAAAGGUAAAAGUGUGGCAUCAACUAUCACUCCACUUCAAAGGAGUUGCUGAUAAUAUCCAUCCUGUCAGCGACAAGUUUGAACUAUUUUAUCAGUUAUACAUUUUGCUAUAAAAGAAAAUCCCAUGUAUCUCUCUACAUUUAUGUGAAAAUUGCAUGAUGGUGUACCAUCAAUGCUUCUGGAAUUUUUACUUUUUCUGCUGCUUCUGCAUCGUACUGCACGAUCACUUGCAAUUUCUGCCAUUUAUGUCCUAUUGGAAGGAAUCAGAACUAUGUUAAGUUCAAAACAACAUAUCAUAGCUCAUGCAAGCCCUAUUGACAGCGGUUUUGUUGAUUAGUGGUUUAUUAUGCAGACCUUCUGCAAAUGACAACAGCCAUAAUGGAGAAAAUUUGGUUCGGCUCUGUGAGUUCCUUCCUUACUUGAAGCUUCCAUCGUCACAGCGGAAAAAUUUCGGGCUUUUCUUCUGAACACGUGUAGUUUGACAGCUGUGCUGGUAUCUGCGAUAAGAGAGAUAUCUUUGCGACGUGUCACGUUCUUGGCCUUGGUUGAAACCUGACGCGUCUGUUGGCACGUGGCGUGGGCACUCCACCAACUUUGUCCUCUGAUAUUAGGCUUACUUGUAUUCUUUGGAUAGUGGACAUUCUGGCGGCAAAAAAAAAAGGGAGUGUUAACAAAAUAUUCAGCUCCAAAGGUUUCAUUUUUUGGUUCUUUUAUAACUUACUUGGCACACUUUCUUUUCCUUGUUGGUUGCAUCUUCUGUCCUUCAUUGAUGCUUGUGCCAGCAAGCUUGCCGAUGUUUUUUCCUUUAUGGUAGUCAGCCGUGUAGGAAGCGCCAACUCGACAUGAACGUAGCACCUUUUUGCGCAAAGCAGUUCCUCUUAACAGCCUGGCAUCUUCAGUGCAUAGCAUUCUAGGCCCUCUUGCACACUUUGAACUAGUACUGACAUAACGGUUUGGACUUUGUCUUUCUGUUUUAGUUUCAUUAUGCGAAGUUUUAAUCUCCCUAUACCCUUGAGAAAAAAGAAUACUGGGAAGCAUCAGAGUGCCCUAAAUAAUUUACUAUAUAACAUUUUGUUUCUGUGAACCAGUUUCAGUUUUGGUAUCUAAGAGGUUGAUGUGUCAUGAUAUGCUGCCUUGCUCCGUUCUUGCAAUGGCUGCAGCUGCCACGCAAGAGCAUAACCAGGAGAAACAUUUACGGCCCUCUUGUUCAUUCUUUUUAUGAACGACGUCGUCGUACCUAGCCCUAUUAAUGCAUCACAUCAGCCAGUUUUGCUCUGUGUCAUGAUGUCACGAUAAUGUCUGUGAUGCCACAUCCGGCAUAGCGAGACCAACCUUAGUAUAAAAUUAAGAUACAAGUGCUUCUCAGCCUUUGUACUUGCCAGGUGUCAUGUCUUUACAUGCCAGACGUGUUGUACAGUUUCUACAAAGAAACUAUGUAUCGUACUGGUUUAAGAACAGCACCGAAGGACAUGUAGCAGGCCCUUUGUGUGCAAAGAUCUCUUUGAAAUGGGUCACAAGCUUCUCAUGCACUUGGCAUGCAGCAGCGCAACUGAGGACAAAUUGCGCUUGCACCCAUAACGCUCCUGCUCGCCUACUUGGGUGCUGCUUUAUGUGCUCUUUCUUUGAUGGCUUUUCUCACACAGACCGUCCAUCCUUAUCUGUUCUCUUUUGUUGAGAGGGAAUUUCUUUAAUGUCGCAUUCUCUCGCAGCCUCCUUAAUUGCUGCUCAUCUCGCUUGUAUUCGUCGUCUAGGCUGUGACUGAGGUCCCUCUGCGAGUGCUAAGGCUGUCCCAUGAAACGCUGCACGUUUAAAAGUGUCUGAUUAACUUACAUAGCUUUUACACAUUCUCUCUGCUUCUUCAUUCCUCCUUUCGUGCGGGGCCUCGCAUUUAAUAAUCUUCCUUAUUCAAUUAACCCCACAAAGCCCAAUGUAUCAUAUUUAAUUCGCUUAGUUUCAUACCUCAAAGUGAUUAUUUAUGCGCAAGAAAUUUAAAGCAAGAGCCAUAGUAGUAUUUUUUUUUUUAUAUGUAUAUCGGGUGGAGUAAAAUUUCAGUUGUGGAGAGUUUAGCAAGCCAAUUACUCAAUAAUUACUGCUAUACUAAUCAACUUAUCAUGCAAAUAAUCUUCUUUGUUAUUAAUGUACCUUCCACAACCAGGAAUAGAGGUCAUCAAGUUGUUAAAAUUUUCCUUGAUGUCGAAUGGUGUUCAGGCUUUCUGGGGAUAAGUAACUUUAGACAGGGCAUUGUUCCUUCCACGUCUCACCACAGCACUCUUGGUUCAUCUCAACUUUCACCGUCUUUGAUUGGCUUUGGUACCGUCUUUCUCUUGUACUCGAAAAUCAACUGGAUUGUACAGGGCGGUCCACUGUUAAAGGGAGCAUGUGAGUACAGAGUGAAUUUUCUCGUCUGGCAGGUGUGCAGUCGCCCGGGUUUGCAGCAGAUGAUUUGUGGCUGGUGGCGCUGGCACCUUUCUACACACCUGCACAGGACAUUGACGUAGGAUGUUCUGCACUUGCAGCUAGAGUGCUUGCAAACUGAGACACGCAUUAGAGAGUUACUUGUAACAGUGGACAGCACUGUACCUUUUAAGCCGUAUUCCAACAAGAACCGUGUAUAUCCAACAAGAACGGUAAAAUUUUACCGAACAGGAACCAGUGAUUAAAUGCUUACACGAGGGAAGAAGUAGAAGGAGCGCUGGGCUUACAACUGUAAAUGUACUUCUGGCGCUGGCUAUUGAUCGGACUGAAGAUUACACUCCCUUCUUUGUUUUGUUUUUAUAAUCCUGUUAAUUUCUGCACAAGUGCAGGAUUGUGACAAAAGUGUGAUUGUGACGUUGCCAGUGUUUUUUUACUCACGCCUGUUGCGUGUGUGGCGUAUCGCUCUUGGAGAUAGCAUGGGCACGUGACCCGGAUGGCUGGUUGUGUGGGCGUGGACCACACUUGAACGCUAGCAAUCCGGGAUACACCUCUUGAGAGAGCUGCACUCGAGCACGCUGAUUAGGGUUUCAGGAAGGAAGGGUGGGUGUGCUUAAGAGUGAGACAAUGGAUGACACGAGUUGGACACUCCGACCUAUCUUCACCACCAGGAUGCUGCAUGGAUGCAGACCAAUUGAGGCACUGCUAGGAAUGUCAGCCAUCACUCUUAUGAUAGCCUUGAUCGCAAAUCCUGGAACUUAGAUUAUAAUGGCACUUCACAACUGAGAGAGCAGAGUUUCCAGAAAACAAGAUUCUGCGUGUAGCUGUUUUUCACUGUGAACAUGUUUUCACUGUCUGUACUUUUUUAAUUUUUUCUAAAAUAGAGUUCCUUCAGAGGGACACUUAGCGGGGAAGCCUGGUUUUAGACAAAUAUAUUUAAAGACCUUUAUUCUUUGAGGUCUGUUGCUGAGAACUUGUAGAUGUGUGUAAUUUUACUUGCUUAUUUUGAAUAUGAGGUCCAUCUUUGCUUAUGAUCUCAUUUGUUCCUAAAAUGUUUUUUUCUCAAGACCAGGCUCGUUCCUCAAGAGGCACUAAGUCAGUUUAUGCUGACAAAUCAUAUUUGAAAAAGUUCCUUUUCAUUUCUUGGGUGUGAAAAUGUUGAUCACUGCCAGGGAAAUUAAAGCUAAAGUUUAGUUUUGAAUUCCACACCUUAAUCGUAGCAUCAAAGUCAUUUGUGCGACCAAAGUCACAGAUGUCAUUGUCUUUUUGCCACAGCACACAGCUGAACUACACGUAUGCUGAAGGCAUGGUGUAGCCUGUAUACUUUUGACAAAGGCUGUACGUUCACACCAAGGUUUGAACUAUAUCUAGCUGGCAACAAUGCAGAAGCUCCGGAAGUAUGAAGUGAGGUCAUAGAAGCCUCGCUGCACACCUUUCACAGUGCAGUUGUUCUUGAUCUGUGACGCUUUCGAAAGAAUAAAAUACAAUCGAACCCACUUAUAAGAAUGUUCAAUUGAAAAAAUAUUAUCCCACUGUUAUAAACAAGUUGUAUGAAAAAUAAGCAGAGGACAAGCAUUCAAACAUUUAAAUAGAUAAACAGAAGUAGAGUCGUACCCCCACUUAUAGCAUUACUGAUUUUAACAGUAUUUGGAUGCAACAACAAGCAUCUGCUGCGCUGUGAACCUUCGUGUGUGUUCCAUGGUAAAAUAAACUGCUUAAUAAAAUGCUCAUGCCUCGUUAUCAGCUAAGCAACUAUCGGUUAACAAUUAAAUCUGGCUACUGGGUGUCUGCACAAAAAAAGAAA